UUUGAUCCUGGCUCAGGAUGAACGCUGGCGGUCUGCUUAACACAUGCAAGUCGAACGGGCUCUUCGGAGCUAGUGGCGGACGGGUGAGUAACGCGUGAGAAUCUGCCUCCAGGACGGGGACAACAGAGGGAAACCUCUGCUAAUCCCGGAUGAGCCGAAAGGUAAAACGAUUUAUCGCCUGGAGAUGAGCUCGCGUCUGAUUAGCUAGUUGGCGGGGUAAAAGCCCACCAAGGCGACGAUCAGUAGCUGGUCUGAGAGGACGAUCAGCCACACUGGGACUGAGACACGGCCCAGACUCCUACGGGAGGCAGCAGUGGGGAAUUUUCCGCAAUGGGCGAAAGCCUGACGGAGCAAGACCGCGUGGGGGAGGAAGGCUCUUGGGUUGUAAACCCCUUUUCUCAAGGAAGAA
rnacentral:rRNA from 1 species